AUGAACGCUGGCGGCGUGCCUAAUACAUGCAAGUCGAGCGAACAGACGAGGAGCUUGCUCCUCUGACGUUAGCGGCGGACGGGUGAGUAACACGUGGAUAACCUACCUAUAAGACUGGGAUAACUUCGGGAAACCGGAGCUAAUACCGGAUAAUAUAUUGAACCGCAUGGUUCAAUAGUGAAAGACGGUUUUGCUGUCACUUAUAGAUGGAUCCGCGCCGCAUUAGCUAGUUGGUAAGGUAACGGCUUACCAAGGCAACGAUGCGUAGCCGACCUGAGAGGGUGAUCGGCCACACUGGAACUGAGACACGGUCCAGACUCCUACGGGAGGCAGCAGUAGGGAAUCUUCCGCAAUGGGCGAAAGCCUGACGGAGCAACCCCGCGUGAGUGAUGAAGGUCUUCGGAUCGUAAAACUCUGUUAUUAGGGAAGAACAAAUGUGUAAGUAACUAUGCACGUCUUGACGGUACCUAAUCAGAAAGCCACGGCUAACUACGUG
rnacentral:rRNA from 1 species